GACACUACUGAGAAAGAACAAAAUCAGGCACGAGACUUCCUGUCCUUACUCUCCGCACCAGAACGGGACAGCUGAAAGGGAAGGGCGAACUCUUUUCGAGAUGGCCAGAUGUAAGCUCAUUGACAGUGGCUUACCUAAGAGCCUUUGGCACUAUGCCAUCCAGGAAGCAGCCUAUACCAGGAACCGGUGUUUCAACAAGCACACAGGCACUACCCCAUACACAGCACUGACAGGUAAAAAGUGUAAUUUGGCCGAUAUGCAUAAAUUCGGGUCAGAGUGUUGUGCCUACCAGCAAGACAGAGGCAAACUAGAUUCUAGGUGUGACAGAGGAUUCUUUGUAGGGCACGACAAGGGCAGUCCCGCCUACCUAGUUUACUACCCGGGCAAAGGAAAAGUACAGAAGCACAGGCUGGUAAAGUUUGUCACCAAGACAACCUGUGAAAAUGAGACUCAGACUCAGGAGCUAGGACUGGAUCCCAAAGGGGGUUGUGAUAAGGGAGUAGAGACUUCACAGCCUAGCGUACCGAACACCGAUGUAUUGACUGAUCGUCCACAAUCCGCAUCAGAGGACGACUGCGAGAAGCAUCCUAGGGAGACGCCACACGACAGUGGGAGAUACCCUACCAGAGAGCGUAAAGCCCCGGGGUAUCUAAGAGAUUAUUCUCUGGAAGAUGCUGAUGACGACAGUACGCUAACUAGUGUAGAUUAUUGCUACCGAGCAGUUUGUGGUGUGCCUCUGACCUUUAAAGAGGCCAUGACAUCAACUGAGUCAGGAAAGUGGAAGAAAGCAAUGGACGAGGAGAUGGGGUCCCUAGAAGACAACCAAACCUUUACCCUGACUAAGCUACCAGAGGGCAGGAAGACAGUGGGAGGAAAAUGGGUAUAUUCGAUUAAGGGAGACAUUGACGGAAACGACCAGUACAAAGCUAGGUUUGUAGCGAAAGGAUACAGCCAGAGAGCAGGGAUAGAUUAUGGCGAGACAUUCUCACCGACAGCAAAUCUGACAAGUAUUCGUGUAGUGAUGCAGAAGGCAGCCCAAGACGAUUUGAUUCUGCAUCAAAUGGAUGUGAAAACCGCUUACCUACAUGCCCCCAUUGAUCGAGACAUCUACAUGGAACAACCUGAAGGUUACAAAAAGGAGGGAGAUGAGCUGGUGUGUAAACUAGAGAAGUCAAUCUACGGCCUGAAGCAGUCGGGGCGAAAUUGGAAUGAGAUGCUCCACACCUGCCUAGUAGAUGAUAACUUUAUUCAGAACCCGACAGACCACUGUGUUUACACAAAAGAGUCUACAGAGACAGGGAAGGUAAUAGUGGUCAUUUGGGUGGAUGAUCUGAUCAUCGCAGCCAGCAACACCCAGAGUUUGGAGAGGGUGAAAAACAUGCUUUCCAACAGAUUUAAGAUGAAGGACCUAGGUAGGUUGAAGUAUUUUCUGGGCAUGGACUUCAGCCAGUCUGACGGCUGGGUAAAAGUGUCACAAAGGAGAUUUGUUGAAAAACUACUGAAUCGUUUCGACAUGCAGGAGUGUAGGGUUAGAGAAACCCCAUGUGAACCAAAGCUAGAAUACUCUGAAGGUGCGCCUAAAAUCUCUGAUGUGAAGAAGUACAGGGAGGCUGUCGGCAGCCUCAUUUACCUGACAACCUGUACACGCCCAGACAUAUGUUUCGUAGUGAACAAGUUAUCACAACAUUUUGCUGACCCUACAGAUGAGCAUUGGGUCACGGUGAAACAUGUUUUGCGGUACCUCAGAGGUACUGCAGACAAACAGCUCUGUUUCACAAAAAGCCAAGGAAGCCUAGGCAUACGAGCAUAUAGCGACGCAGACUGGGCUGCGGAUGUUAGUGACAGACGCAGUACCACCGGGUAUUGUGUGAGUAUGAGUAAAGGUAGUUCCUUAGUAUCUUGGAAAACCAAGAAGCAACCCACAGUAGCACUCUCCACAUGCGAAGCCGAGUACAUGGCUCUAGCUCUGACAAUACAGGAGUGUAUUCACUUGGAGCAACUACUGGGAGGGAUGGAUUCCUAUGUGUAUGAGAAAACGGUUGUCUACGAGGAUAACCAGGGGACAAUUGCGCUUGUUAGGAACCCGGUGUGCAGACAACGGUUUAAGCAUGUGGACAUAAAAUAUCAUUUCAUCAGGUCUACCAUAAGGGAAGACAAGAUGUCCCUUGUUUACUGUCCCACCGACAACAUGGUCGCAGACGUUAUGACAAAGCCUGCCUCCAAACUUAAGUUAAAGAAAUUCGGGGAAAUCAUGUUUGGUGUAUAAAAUGUUGAUAUUUGGCUAUGCCAUGUUUUUGUUCUGUUUUUGUUUAUUUGGUCAUGUAAGUUUUGCACAGUAUACAUGUCAUUCAUAAGUGGGAGUGUUAAGAGUGUAUGAAUGCAUGUACCUGUAACUGUUUCCUGGGUCGUGAUAUCAAGAGCACCAUUCCCAUAUAAGGGCAGUGUUCCCUCCCCUUUUCUCUGUGUGUCCCCGUCUCUCCCGUGAGCGGGCAGUUGAGCAUGGUGUGCUUACAUUAAAGAAUGCCACGAGUCGGAUGGCUAAAGAGAUAAACGCCUGGACGUCCGUUCAUUCUCCGAAAAUCAUUGUUCCGCCGCGCAGGUAGGCCGAAUAAAUAAGCCUACCUGUCAACAGCGAUAAUUAGCAGGGGGAAGUAUUAAAUUAAAGCAAGGCAUUCGUUUUACGGGGCCAGCAUUUAUGACGGUAAUAGCAUCCCUAUAAAUGAACGACCUCCGAAUGCCUCCUGAUGUGUUGCCACUCAUCAGGCCCAGAGGCAACCGCUGAUGCGUCCACUGUGUGACCUCAUCCCCUCAGUCUUUGGGAUUUCUCGCCACCGGAGAGUGUGUGUGGGUGUGUGGGAGGGGGGGUUGUGGAGGGGCAUGGCGGUGUCGAGACGAGAUGCGUGUUAUCAUGAAGGUACAAUACGUUCUGGUGGAGAGCGUAUUUGGAGGGCAUUUGCAGCGUGUGAGAAUUCCUCUUUUUCUCAGGGUGUAUACGUGGAUUUCCUCCACCACUUAUCUUAUGUCAAUUCAGCUCUAAGUGUGGGCACACCCUGCCUCUGGGCGCAGACUGCGCAUGGGGAGACAAGGUGCUGCCUUUACGUGGGGGGGGGGGGCAGUCAUCUCUACAUGAAGAACAUGAGGCUGAAAUAAAGCCUCUCGAAAUGACUGUUCCUGUGGAAAUAAGCAAGGCAAGCGAGAGCAGAGGGAAAGCAGUGCCAUUUAGAGAGGCUAAAUCAUCCCCCCAACUAUAAAUCCACUGACCGCUCAUCAUUCAGCAGCAUUUUAAAAAGCCCUUAAAGAAAAACACUGAGUGAAAUGAAUAUGCUGUCACCUCUCAUUUGGGUCUGGCCCGCCAGCUCUAUAAGAAAAGUGUUGUUCCCUGGGAGGCUGCGGGCCCGAGCUGAGCUCUCAGGUUUAAGGUUUACCCCCGUCCCGCAUUCUCAAGGCUUUUGAGGCCCGGGUCUCUCUCUUUUUCCUCCCCCACGCCCCCCCAGACAUGUCUGACAGGCUGAACUCGAUGUGGGCUGCUCACCAGACUACAAAAAUCAUUCAUCUGUGCCGUCAGACGGUCAAAUCUGGAUCUAAUAAGUGGGAGCUCGCCUAUUGAUCCUAUUCAUGGGGAAGGCUUGCUGCCAACUGUCACCACUGGAGGGCUCUGUGGCUCAAGCUAGGAGCGGCUCUUUGAGGACUUCGCGGGGCCCCCGAGUCGCUUGUCUGUGCUGCUGAUCGGCGUCGGUAACUCAGUGUUAAAGUGCUAACUAACAGUAUGAAGGAGGAAAUGUGCUUGUGUUAAGAUCACCAUACCCGCGAUCGGUGCAAAGACAACAUGCUGUUUACAAACAUCUGCGCUGUGUUGUUGGCUUCCUAUUCCGGGUCGCCUUUGCGUGGGGGGGGGGGUUGCUGAAGGCAAAUACCACAGCAGCACCCUCUCCUGUUUCACCUGUGGCACAAACCAACACACGAAACUGGAAACAUACCGACGCGGCCUGCAGCGAAGCGUCCUGCAGGCCGCGGGGACGCCGCGAGGAGGGAGUCAUCUGGGAGGGAGCGAGAGGGACAGUGAGUCACGGCCACUUUUUUUUUUUUGGAUGGGGGGGGGGGGGUGUUUAUGUGUGGGUGAGGGCACUACACCAAACGCCUAGGCGAAACCCACAGCAUUCCACGGCGGCCCUUAAAGAGACAGAGCGCCGCUGUCGUCGUGGGUAUUUGGGGAGCAAAGUGUUAACACGUGGCCGCGGGCCGCUGGAGACGCCCGGCGAGGCCCACAGAAGCCGCUAGGUGGCUCUGACAGAAGACCUCAACCAAAUGGGGUUUGGGUGAUUUUUUGUUUCAAUUUGGCAAAGUGACAGGAGCUGAUACAAAAAAGAGAAAAAUACAACUUUAAAAAUUUCAGGUUUGGGUUUUUAAUCCAAAACCAAGCAGGCAUUUAGGUUUCACUUGUGUCACGCUACCGCUUUAAAAAAAAGAAAGUUGGUAGAAGUUGAACUGCGCCUGCAUUGCGGAGAUCCAGAGAUAGAGGGCAGAGUUGAGCUGUGGAACGCGCGGGACAGCGGCAGGGUGUCUGUUCCCAGUAAGUUGAAAACCUUUUUGAGUUGACAGAUGCGGAACGCUUGGUCCGUUAACUCCGUUUAACUUAAAGAAACCACACAUUUCUAAAGUCGCAGGAAGUUGCUUUUCUAAUAUUCUUAGUUAUUAUCAUCCACAAUGUGACAAACGUCUUCACAAAACAUGACGUGUGUGUACAACUCCACGGUCAGAACUGUGAGGAGCAUCUUCCAUCCACAGCAAAGUGGGUGAGCGGUGAGAGAGAAAGAACAUGAGAACAAGUUCUCAUCUUGUGUGGGUGUGAGGGAGCGAGGUGAGAGCUCGGCCAAUCGGGUGGUUAUAGAGAAAGGCCGAGGCUGGCGUCUAGUGUGUGAGAGCAAAAAAUGAAGUGUGUGAGCGCGGGCGUGUCCUACAGAGAGGAUGCAGAGAAGGAAAUGAAUUGGAGGUUCGGGGGGCAAAAAGAGAAACAGCCUGUUUCCUCCACGAAACUCCAUGGGACGGCAGGGACUCGACAUCCUUGAACCAUCAGUGGGGCUCUAAAAAUAGCUCAGUUUCUGCACAGUAAGAGGUGGGAGUGGGGCCGAGUGAAGUGCGGGUGAGUGGGGGCGGCUGGCGGCUGGAAAACGGGAAGACGGGGAGUGAAAAUUUGGAGCGAAGCAAAGAAACGCCGCCCCGCCAGACAGCGGUGAUGAGAGACGGGCCCGGAGGUUGGGAGCAGGAGAGCAUCAGUUGAGCCGCGUUAUCGCGGUAGCCCGCUUUCACUUUUAAAAACACCGGCGAAUAUUUAUCACAGAUUGCGUUAUUCAUGCCUGCUGUCAGACAAGCCGGCGAGGAGGUUGCUGCACGAGGCCCGGUGCUUCCCGCGAGAGAGUGAUUUGCCACCUGCUUAUGAACGGUGCGGAACUGAAUCUGCUUCUUUAAAAACCCAGCAAAGCAUGAAAGGCAGCGCAAUGCAAGGCAGAGAUCACCGGCCUGGUAGAACAGAAGACCUUUCCCAGCUGUGACCACAACGCACGAGGAGGUGAUUCUGGCGCUUUGUUGCUUCCCUGGAGCCGAAGCUCGCAGUCCGACCACUUCCAACUUCUCCACUCUCAUUGUGGGGCAGAAGAGAGAAAUGGUUUUGAACCUACUGACUUUUGAAAUUCUUAAAUUCCGUAUAUUUCAUGGACUAUGUUGAGAAAUGAGACAGUUUUUUCUUUUUAUUAGCACUUUUUUCUUCAUUAUGUGAAAAUAGGGUUUAUUUUCUGGGGGAGGAAGGAAGUGUACAAUAAAUAUCAAUUAUAAAAUUUCAUAUUUCUUCGCUUUUCAACUUAAAAACAGGCCCCUUAGCCCUGAUUGGUUAUUUACCUAACACGUGAGUUACAAACCAGGAAGUGAAGCAGCAUCAUGAAGCUGAUGUAAACAACAAGUUAUCGGCCUCCGGUUCCUUCUCACAAAUUGUGCGACCCAAGCAGCACACACCGGACCCGCGUGGUACACAAACGUGCUCGCGCAGGGAACGUGUUUCUGUAGCCAGAAUUUGCGCAGAGCGACCUGGAAACUGAACCACGCCGGGAAGCUUUAUGGCGAGUGGAACAACACAACAUGCUGACACCGUUAAAAACCCUUCAGAGGAGAGACAUGGUUUGUUAGUUAAAAUGCUGGGAUAAUGAAACAAAGCAUUAAUUACACUAUAUAUAUAUAUUUGUAUACCUAAGUCUGGUUGUAUGGAGGUGACGUACUGAACUAUUUAGGACCAGACACGGGACACAAGACAGACGGUGUUGAAAACCGGCCACUGACAAGCAGCCCCUUCUCCCCUCUCGUCGCCCUGAUAAGCCGCCCCGCGCUGGCUGAACCACACGCCUCAUCACGGGCCGGGUGGACUGAGCAGAGCCGACAGGUCUACCAGCGCGCUGACGUUGUUAUCAGUGUGAACACACCGGGCGACGCGGUGGAGCUAAAGACACCUCUUUCUCACAAGUGACCGGGGAAAAUACCUCCGCCAGCUCCCAAACGUCUCGUCUCACGAGACGAACUCAUGAGCUGUCUUCAUCCCGGCUGCAGUGGAGAAGGGAGGGACUGUGGAGAAUGUAUUAUACACAUUAUCUACUUUCCUGUAUUUUAACGAAUAUCGACUAGUUAUAAUUCAUUUUCCAGACGGCGGCACGCCCCGAGCUGGACGACAAAGUCAAAACCCUUCACCCCUCCAAUCGGGAGCAGUUUCUAUUUUUCUCGUUGCUAUCAACACGUCGUUUCUGGCACGUUGCCCCCUCUGUCCUCCGUCCCUUUCUCUCCCCCCAUCUGUCUCGCUGAUUGCCCUGCCUCUACUCGCCUGCGAGGCCUGCCUCUCCUCUCGCGUCUCUAAUGAGAGCGUGUGUUACCCAGGCAUUCAGAAAAACCUCCUCUGCUAAUUACAUGACAAGCAUCUCGUUCUGGAACCCUAAUGAAGAGGAAUAGCGAGCGGGAGACGCCACUGGACUGCUGUGUGUGUGUGUGUGUGCGCGCUGGGGAGGGGGGUCAAGCUGGCCAUUGGGUGGGGUGUUUGUGUGUGUCGGGCGGUGGGGGGGGGGG
ensembl:lncRNA